rnacentral:rRNA from 1 species
GACGAACCGUGCGAACGUUGUUCGGAAUCACUGGGCUUAAAGGGCGCGUAGGCGGGCUGCCAAGUCAGGGGUGAAAUCUUUCGGCUCAACCGGAAAAGAGCCUUUGAUACUGGCGGUCUCGAGUGGGGUAGGGGCACGCGGAACUUCCGGUGGAGCGGUGAAAUGCGUAGAUAUCGCUUGGAACGCCGAAGGUGAAAAACAGGUUGCUGGGAAUGCGCCGACGCUGAGACACGAAAGCCAGGGGAGCGAACGGG